GACGAACGCUGGCGGCGUGCUUAACACAUGCAAGUCGAACGAUGAAGCCGGAGCUUGCUCUGGUGAAUUAGUGGCGAACGGGUGAGUAACACGUGAGUAACCUGCCCUUGACUCUGGGAUAACUGCUAGAAAUGGUAGCUAAUACCGGAUACGACCCUCGGAGGCAUCUCCAGGGGGUGGAAAGAAUUUCGGUCAAGGAUGGACUCGCGGCCUAUCAGCUAGUUGGUGAGGUAACGGCUCACCAAGGCGACGACGGGUAGCCGGCCUGAGAGGGUGACCGGCCACACUGGGACUGUGACACGGCCCAGACUCCUACGGGAGGCAGCAGUGGGGAAUAUUGCACAAUGGGCGCAAGCCUGAUGCAGCAACGCCGCGUGAGGGAUGACGGCCUUCGGGUUGUAAACCUCUUUUAGUAGGGAAGAAGCGAAAGCGACGGUACCUGCAGAAAAAGCACCGGCUAACUACGUGCCAGCCGCCGCGGUAA
rnacentral:rRNA from 1 species